rnacentral:rRNA from 1 species
UACGUAGGGGGCUAGCGUUGUCCGGAAUCAUUGGGCGUAAAGCGCGUGUAGGCGGUUCGGUAAGUCCGCUGUGAAAGUCGGGGGCUCAACCCUCGGAUGCCGGUGGAUACUGUCGAGCUUGAGUACGGAAGAGGCGAGUGGAAUUCCUGGUGUAGCGGUGAAAUGCGCAGAUAUCAGGAGGAACACCAAUGGCGAAGGCAGCACUCUGGGACGGUACUGACGCUGAGACGCGAAAGCGUGGGGAGCAAACAGG